AACGAACGCUGGCGGCAUGCCUAACACAUGCAAGUCGAACGAGACCUUCGGGUCUAGUGGCGCACUGGUGCGUAACGCGUGGGAACCUGCCCUUAGGCUCGGAAUAACUCCCCGAAAGGGGUGCUAAUACCGGAUAAUGUCUUCGGACCAAAGAUUUAUCGCCUUUGGAUGGGCCCGCGUUGGAUUAGCUAGUUGGUAGGGUAAAAGCCUACCAAGGCGACGAUCCAUAGCUGGUCUGAGAGGAUGAUCAGCCACACUGGGACUGAGACACGGCCCAGACUCAUACGGGAGGCAGCAGUGGGGAAUAUUGGACAAUGGGCGAAAGCCUGAUCCAGCAAUGCCGCGUGAGUGAUGAAGGCCUUAGGGUUGUAAAGCUCUUUUACCCGGGAUGAUAAUGACAGUACCGGGAGAAUAAGCUCCGGCUAACUCAGUG
rnacentral:rRNA from 1 species